UACCUUUUUUAUUUUAAUUUUCCAGAUCAUUUACAACCAAGCUCAAGAUUUCUUCCUUGCUUCCAGCCCACCAUCGUCAGGAUUGACGGGAUUCUCGUUCGCGCAACAUGAUGCGAGGACUCAUCCAGAGAGGAUUGCUCCCAUGCUCGACUUCCAUGAACAAAGAGAAGCCCCUGUUACUACUGUCCCACCAGGGAAGCAGGGCAAACGAUUAGCUCCGAUGAAACGUGCCAAGUGGCAUCUUGGUAUCCGGUCACAAAGUAGACCUCGUGAUAUUAUGUUUGAGGUUUUCAAAGCAAUGAAACGACUUGGUUACGCUUGGAAAUUAAUCUCGGCGUUCCACGUUCGUGUACGUAGGGUGAACCCAAUCACUAAACAUAUCAACAAAAUGAACUUACAGGUAAAAUAUAUUAUAUGUGGAUGAGGACUGAGGUUAUUGUCGGGGAUUUGUGGUUUAAGCCAGAGUUGCCCCAUUACCCCAACAUUGUAUAUGCACAUUCUAUUCUAUAUGAGUGAGGUCCUACAAUGAGGCAUGCCAUAGGACCUGGGNUUUAGACCAGAGUUGGUCUAAUUACCUCAACAUUGUAUAUGCACAUUCUAUUCUAUAUGAAUGAGGUUCUACAGAACAUGGGAUUUAGGAGAGAGUUGGACUUUCACCAUACAUGUAUAUAGCAUAUUCACAUUAUACGAAUAUAGCAUAUGCAUUCUCUUCUGUAAGGGUAAAAUCCUACAGCAUGACUCCUAACGCUUUCCCUACAGAUUGUUCAUUUAAAGUUACCACAACUACCUGAUGAAUCCUACAGAAAGUUUCGAAGAUAAAGAGUCGAGCGUUUUCGAUAAAAUCGUCCAAACAAGCGAUGAGGAAGAAAUCGUUUGAAAGAACAAGUUCGCAUUCGCGUAGCUUUUCUUGGGCCUUGUCAAAAUCAAAGUGAACGUAAAGGCAUUCAAGGAAUUCAGUUACAGGGUCACGAUAUGUGUAUGCUUCUUGUUGGAUCACUCUAACCAAA